rnacentral:miRNA from 1 species
AAAAGUGAUUGCAGUGUUUG